CUACGCAAAUCUGUCUUUGAUUCCACCACACCCCUGAUUAUACCAGAGAACGUUCAUCUAAGUUCUAUGAUUAUACUACUAAAAACUCCUUUGAGUUAUGGCGGUGUACUUCCUAACGCUUUGCAACUUAUUCACCCAUUUAUGAGUCAACAUGCGUUCGAAGGUUUAGGUUUAUCUCUGGUUUAGGCGUCACUCUGGUGCUUCUUUAGCGAGUUUUCGCUUUCACAAUAGCACACAUUUCUCCGCGCCUCAGUCGCGCAAACGCUACAAUAACAAUGCAUAUAGCUAUGCCAUGGCUGUCAGACCGAAUUCUACUCAAAACAUUCAAAAUUUUAUAAUUAAAAUAGCAUUUUCUCAAUAUACACACAACUCGGAGCCAUUAUACUACAGUACACGCGCGCGCUGCCUAUUCCAUUUGACAUCCGCUUUACAUAAAAUUUACUUGACGAAUUUUCGGCUUUUCAGACAGACAGCAAGGCAAUUGCAAAUACUGUCAGACUGAAACUCUAACUUCGUCUGCUCUUACUUGCCUGUGACUUGCAAAUGAGUGCAAACAGCAAAUGACUGCCAGCGGCCAUCGGGCACUGCGUAUGGUAAGCACUCGUGCGCUGUGAACCGCAAGUACAAGUUAAAGCGCUCUGCAAAUAACUUUUUAAAGCAAUGACGCGACGUCACGAAGGCGACAGCGCGUAGCGGUUCAAAAGCCAAGGCGAGCGUUAAUGGAAAUGUUGAUGUGCACGUGUUGCUUGGUGUUGUUGUUGUGUUGGUCAGACAAGGCAAGCGUUGCAAGCCUAUACACAUACAUCGUUGAGCGCCGGUCGACUGAAAUGGGUGAGCGCAAGUGAAAUUAUGUGAGUGCGGACAGAGUAAAAACAAAGCAACAAAUAUGUGCGUGCGCGUGUGCGUGUGUAUGUGUUUUGAGCGUGAAAUGCAAACGAGCGACAAGGUCGAAUGAAUGGCUGGUCACUUGAGGAACGCCGCAUAAGCAAGGGAAAUCGAAGACGAAAUUUCGGCAGCCAUACAGAGAAAACUGCACAGAGUCGGUGUGAGAGCGCAGAAACACAAUGGUAUAAGUUAAUUUGAUGAGACUUUGUGUAUGUAGUGUAAUUCUUCUUUUAAUAUUUAUUCAAAUUGUGUAAGUUCUACUUUUAUUUGCACUAAUUUUUGACUGCGCCAUAUUUUCAACUUUA